ACUGGUAUUGUUGAAACAAUUGGCACAAGUGGUUUAUGGAAACAAUUGUGAUUUUAUGAUUGCUUUCCCAAUUUUUUUCAUUUGUGAGAUUUUUUUUCUCUCUCUUCCCCCUCUCUCUCGUACGCUCUCUCGCUCUUUCUCACCUUCCUCUCACACUUUCAUCUCUCUUUCUCUCUGCACUCCCCAUCUCAUCCUUCAUAAGAUCCACACAACAACCUCCACCACCAUCUACAAAUCAACCACUCGUGAGAGUGAUGGAGUGGCCGAGUGAGAGAAUAUUUGCCGGCGGGAGAGAAGUUCCGGCGAGGAGGAGGAGUUCCGGCCGAGAGAGUUCUUGUGGCGGUUUGUGGUGACACGGCGACGACGGAGGAGACUAAGCUUCUUGCUCCUUCUUUCUCUGGCUCCAUGGAAGGAUAAGGCUCCUCCAUGAAAUUUGAUCUUUGGAUGUCAAUAAACUCAGGAAGCAUUCCAGUGAUAAAAUUGAAUUUUUAUCAAUUGGUAUUUAUAUAGUUUAUCACAAAAUUGCUUACUAGAUUGUGAGGUUUUGUUGUUAAUCCCAUUGUAAGUGUCAUUGUUGGAUUGUCUAAUCUUAAUGCUAUUGGAGACAAGAAAAUGAAACUCAAACUUGGUGGUGUGGCAUUAGGAGACAGUUUGACUCUAUACUAAAGUGUUCAAAGUCACAGACACUAAAAUACCGGCAAAUCAGUUUGAGUUCAUGUCUUUCCAUGACAUUCUCUCAUGUACUAAAGAGAAUCAGUUUCUUGGUAUGUAUCAUGCGUUGUUGGAUGCCCAGUUGAAGGAUCAGUGUCUCCAUCAAAAGUAGCUUAUGUGGCUAAAGAACUAUAUGAUAUGGGUUGCUUUGAAAUCUCACUUGGUGACACAAUUGGGGUGGGCACACCAGGCACAGUAGUUCCAAUGCUUUUGGCUGUAAUUAAUGGCGGUUGUACCAACCGAAAAGCUUGCUGUUCACUUCCAUGACACAUAUGGGCAAUCCCUUUCAAACAUUCUUGUAUCCCUCCAAAUUCUUCAGUUGCUGGUCUUGGUGGCUGUCCAUAUGUUAAGGGGGCUUCGGGAAAUGUAGCUACCGAAGAUGUUGUGUACAUGCUUAAUGGUCUUGGUGUGAAAACCAACGUCGAUAUUGAAAAACUCAUGUCAGCCGGCGACUUCAUCGGCAAGCAUUUGGGGCACCCCUCUGGCUCAAAGACCGCCAUUGCCCUUAGCCGAGUCACUGCUGAUUCUUCUAAGAUAUGAUUAUAUAUAUAGUACCAUAUAAAUAUAUUUCCAGGUGCUUCAACCAAUGACAGAUCAUUCUAUAUGUUUCAUGUGUCAUUUUUUUGUUGCAUAAUUAUAGAACAAGAAUAAAUUUUCCACUCACAUUGAUGAGUUAGGAAGCAGCAAUGCCUAUAAUAUGUCAAUAGCAAAUGCAAGGUUCUCAUUUGAGUGAAAUCUUGCAAUUUUUAUACAGCCAUCAUGCAUGCCAUUCAUUUGUGUAUAAUGAUGUAUAGUUAGAUAUAGUUAUACACGGAUGACUCAUUUUUAACUCUAAAUUGAACAACAAAAUGGUUGAUUGGUAGGAUUUAUAUCUUAUAAUUUUAAUUUCAUAGAACUUUUCUUUACGCCCUUUUGCUCAUCCACUGAUCCUUCCUAUAACAUGUAUUUGGAUUUACACAUUAAAUGGCUAUGCAAUAUCAACAUGUGGCAUUGAUAAAGGCUACAUAAGGAAUAAGAAGAAAGAAUUCAAUAAAUAAUUGACUAUAAUAUAAUUGUUAAUGGUAUUUCAUGCAAUGAUUUGGUUAAUCUUUUUCCACUUAUUUUGUUUUCAAACUUUCUGAUUGCAAGUUUGAGCAGUACGUUGACUAUGCUCUUGAUGUUCCAAUGCGCAGAUACUCUUCUUACUCCUACUACUUUCAUCACCAAAUGAUUUUGGAGGAGUAUCUGCGCAUUUUGAUGUUCCUUUGUUCAGUGACGAACACACAGUCGGUUUCAAGGCCACGAUGACUUUUUAUACUUUAUCUCCAUGUUCUCUACAGCAGAUCAUCCCAACAAAUAAAGGAUGGAUUAGCUUGAAAGUUUUAAUCAUCUGUGUUAUAAGAGAGUAUUAUAGUAUGGGGAAAUAUUGGUGGUGUUUGAUAUAGGUUACCUGGUUAUGCCUUUUUUUCCUUUUGAAAUGCUAGAGUUUUGUUUGGUCGGUGGAAUGAGAUUUUUAUUGAGCAUGGCUUAAGUGGUGGGGAUUGAAACAUAGAUGAAAAACUUCUAUAUACACCAUGCAUGUUCUCAUUUAAACUAAUGAGGUGAAAAGUACAAGCAAUACUAAUGAGGGAACUUUAGAUUGUAGGAUAUGAUAGAAGAUUAUCAAUUUGGUUUUGGGCUUUCGACCUGGAGUUUGAAGUUAUCAACCAAAUUAAUGGAAAAAAGGAGCUGUGAUUAUUUUUUUAAUUAUUGUUUAGAGGAAGAGAGAAAUAGAUUGAGUCUAUGUAUUGAUGUUUUUCUUUAAAGUAUAUCGUAAUGUACUCUUGCAUCUU